UACGUAGGGUGCAAGCGUUAAUCGGAAUUACUGGGCGUAAAGCGUGCGCAGGCGGUUCGCUAAGACAGAUGUGAAAUCCCCGGGCUUAACCUGGGAACUGCAUUUGUGACUGGCGGGCUAGAGUAUGGCAGAGGGGGGUAGAAUUCCACGUGUAGCAGUGAAAUGCGUAGAGAUGUGGAGGAAUACCGAUGGCGAAGGCAGCCCCCUGGGCCAAUACUGACGUUCAUGCACGAAAGCGUGGGGAGCAAACAGG
rnacentral:rRNA from 1 species